rnacentral:rRNA from 1 species
GAUGAACGCUGGCGGCGUGCCUAAUACAUGCAAGUCGAGCGAAUGGAUUAAGAGCUUGCUCUUAUGAAGUUAGCGGCGGACGGGUGAGUAACACGUGGGUAACCUGCCCAUAAGACUGGGAUAACUCCGGGAAACCGGGGCUAAUACCGGAUAACAUUUUGAACCGCAUGGUUCGAAAUUGAAAGGCGGCUUCGGCUGUCACUUAUGGAUGGACCCGCGUCGCAUUAGCUAGUUGAUGAGGUAACGGCUCACCAAGGCAACGAUGCGUAGCGGAACUGAGAGGGUGUUCGGCCACACUGGGACUGGGACACGGCCCAGACUCCUCAGGGAGGCAGCAGUAGGGAAUCUUCCGCAAUGGACGAAAGUCUGACGGAGCAACGCCGCGUGAGUGAUGAAGGCUUUCGGGUCGUAAAACUCUGUUGUUAGGGAAGAACAAGUGCUAGUUGAAUAAGCUGGCACCUUGACGGUACCUAACCAGAAAGCCACGGCUAACUACGUGCCAGCAGCCGCCGUAA